GGAUGGAUCAUUACUUUUAAAAAAACAUACCAACCGUGAAAUUCAACCGUAUCCCUCGAUUCUGGUAAUCAGAGAAGGGGUCUGCUGUGUAAACGACUGUAGCACAGUGGGCCCCUUCCUCUCGAUUGCUCGAAUCGAAAAAGGGAACAAAAACAACCAAAACUAUUUCUACAAUCUAAACAAAACCAAUAUAACUAUUAGCAACGGAUACCUCGGUUCUCACAACGAUGAAGAACGCAGCGAAACGCGAUAUUUAAUGCGAAUUGCAGAAUUCAGUGAAUCAUCAAAUCUUUGAACGCAAGUUGCGCUCUUGGGUAUUCCUAGGAGCAUGCCUCUUUGAGCAUCGUAAACCAUCACUCAAGUAUCUUCUUGACAAAUCUAGAGUCUUUCGAGUCUCUAUAGAUGGCUACCGAUAUGAAAAUUAAAAACCUCUUAUCAGCAAUGUCAAUGAUUCAAUCGAAAGAUAAUUUCAUGUGGACACGACUGGAAAUGUUUUAAUUCUUGUUUCAUAAAAUCUAUUAUGAUCUCAGAUGAGGUAAGAGGACCCGCUGAACUUAAGCAUAUUAGUAAGCGGAGGAAAAGAAACUAACCAGGAUUCCCCUAGUAACGGCGAGUGAACAGGGACUAGCUCAAACCGAAAAUCGUAGUGGUUUCAACUAUGAAUUGUGGUCUACAGAGGUACUGUCAGCGAUGGCCUUGGCUAAAGUCUGUUGGAAUACAGCUGCAAAGAGGGUGAGACUCCCGUCUUGAGCUAAGAGUCCGCCGCGUACGACAUGCCUUCUAAGAGUCGGGUUGCUUGGGAACGCAGCCUUAAACGGGUGGUAAAUUCCAUCUAAAGCUAAAUAUAUGUGAGAGACCGAUAGCAAACAAGUACCGUGAGGGAAAGGUGAAAAGGACUUUGAAAAGAGAGUCAAAAGUACUUGAAAUUGCUAAUAGUCAAGCGAUAGAGGCUAGUGAUUGACGGCACCAUAUUUUCCUUGUGCUAGAAAGGUUCAAUAGGACUUGGGUCUUUGAGAACUGAUCUGGUGUAUGGGUUCUGUGAGUGUUGUUCUUGCCAGAAUCGAUUCGGGGUGUUCUUGAUAGCUGAUGGAGGGUAGUUUCUCUUUUGAAACGAGUGCCAUCAUGCUCUAGAAUGCUCUGGAUCGAGGUAUGAUUCUGACGAAAUGGUCUCUAUCGACCCGUCUUGAAACACGGACCAAGGAGUCUAACGUAUAUGCGAGUCUUUGAGUGGAAAACUCCAAGGCGUAAUGAAAGUUGAAUCAAAUCCCUCGGGAUUUGUGAGAUGUUAAACCCUUUGGGUUUCCGCAUCGCCCGGCGUCUACAUUGUGAGGUGUUCGAGGUCGAGCAUACACGUUAGGACCCGAAAGAUGGUGAACUAUGCCUGAGCAGGGUGAAGCCAGGGGAAACUCUGGUGGAAGCUCGUAGCGAUACUGACGUGCAAAUCGUUCGUCGGACUUGGGUAUAGGGGCGAAAGACUAAUCGAACCAUCUAGUAGCUGGUUCCCUC
rnacentral:misc_RNA from 1 species